GAACAAUCUUCAGAGUGAAAGCCUCUGUGACGGAGGAAGGAUUGAGCGGUUUGAAGAAAAAUUUUAAAAGUUCCAGACUGAUCACAGUUUGAGAAAUUUCUGAAUUUCGCUCAUUCUGGCGGCACCCAUUCACUGCAGAGGAUCCACUGGAGAGCAAGUGAUGUAAUGCUAAAUUUCUCCAAAUCUGCUCCAAUGAAAAAAAAACUCAUCUACAUCUUGGAUGACCUAAGGACAUUAAGGUCAUCUGUGCGCAACUCCCUAGAAGUCAUAAGAGAAAAGACACUUCAAGCAAUCCUGUGAUGAAAAGCCUCAUGCAGUCUGUGCAGCAAAUUCCUCAGUGAUGUCCAAAAGCUGAUUCAUUCUUCAAGACUUUGGACUACAGAUGACCAUCUUUUGCUCAGUUAGAAUACUUGAAAGCAUAUGGAUGUUGACGAGAGGAAUUUCAGGAGAAACAUUUAAGUCAGUUUUAAUAAUGUUUGAACAACAAAAUGUUCACCUGGAACAAGGAGCAUCUACACUGUAUGAGAGGAGAUCUGAAGAUUUUCUGCCCACAUGAGUUUGUGGAUGAGCUAAUCAAGCUGAUGACCCACAAAGUGAGUUCACAGGACUGAAUCUGUGAUAUCAAAGAACUUUAAUGAUAGAACAAUUGCUGGUUUCCUGUGACUCAGCUCAUGCAAGCUGGUAGGUAGCUCACACAAGGCGACUUAAGGCUAAUCCACUAUAAGCCACAGCAAAGUGUUUGAUGGUUCAAAGUGACUACAGGCUGAUCCUCUUUAGCUACUCACACUGGGAUGAGAAAGGCACACUUGUCUUAAGAGAUUUUCUAUUUCAUCAAUUAAAAGACUCCUACAUGGAGUUUAAUUGCAUUAAAUUGCAAAACUGCUAAUACAUUGUCAACAGAUAUUUCUAAAAAAAAAAAAAAAAAAAAAAACUAUAUUGUACUAAUAUAUCUAAUUAUACAGUAAAUGUUGUUUUGAUGAUACUGAAUACAUUGUCUAACCAUUCUUCAGCUAGACCCAGAUGCACGUUUUUGGGCCUAAAGUGAGUAUUAAAUCCUUAUCAGAUCCCAGUUAUCUACACAUUAAGCAAUAAUUCACACCUGUAUGCUGGCAUACCUCACAGUUCACUGAGCAUCGUCUUACAUUCCAGAAUUCAUAUGCAGUUUAUGUAAUCGACAUUUUUUAGCUGUAAGGGAUGUAAGCUGCAUGAUCUACUGUAUGAACAAAAAGUGGCAUAUACAUACACUACCAUAUAAAAG